GUGAGGAACCUGCCUCAAAGAGGGGGACAACAGUUGGAAACGACUGCUAAUACCGCAUAAGCCCACGACCCGGCAUCGGGAAGAGGGAAAAGGAGCAAUCCGCUUUGAGAUGGCCUCGCGUCCGAUUAGCUAGUUGGUGAGGUAACGGCCCACCAAGGCGACGAUCGGUAGCCGGACUGAGAGGUUGAACGGCCACAUUGGGACUGAGACACGGCCCAGACUCCUACGGGAGGCAGCAGUGGGGAAUAUUGCACAAUGGGGGAAACCCUGAUGCAGCGACGCCGCGUGGAGGAAGAAGGUCUUCGGAUUGUAAACUCCUGUUGUUGAGGAAGAUAAUGACGGUACUCAACAAGGAAGUGACGGCUAACUACGUGCCAGCAGCCGCGGUAAAACGUAGGUCACAAGCGUUGUCCGGAAUUACUGGGUGUAAAGGGAGCGCAGGCGGGCGAUCAAGUUGGAAGUGAAAUCCAUGGGCUCAACCCAUGAACUGCUUUCAAAACUGGUCGUCUUGAGUAGUGCAGAGGUAGGCGGAAUUCCCGGUGUAGCGGUGGAAUGCGUAGAUAUCGGGAGGAACACCAGUGGCGAAGGCGGCCUACUGGGCACCAACUGACGCUGAGGCUCGAAAGUGUGGGUAGCAAACAGGAUUAGAUACCCUGGUAGUCCACACCGUAAACGAUGAUUACUAGGUGUUGGGAGAUUGACCCUCUCAGUGCCGCAGUUAACACAAUAAGUAAUCCACCUGGGGAGUACGACCGCAAGGUUGAAACUCAAAGGAAUUGACGGGGGCCCGCACAAGCAGUGGAGUAUGUGGUUUAAUUCGACGCAACGCGAAGAACCUUACCAAGUCUUGACAUCCCUUGACGAUGCUGGAAACAGUAUUUCUCUUCGGAGCAAGGAGACAGGUGGUGCAUGGUUGUCGUCAGCUCGUGUCGUGAGAUGUUGGGUUAAGUCCCGCAACGAGCGCAACCCUUAUGGUCAGUUACUACGCAAGAGGACUCUGGCCAGACUGCCGUUGACAAAACGGAGGAAGGUGGGGAUGACGUCAAAUCAUCAUGCCCUUUAUGACUUGGGCUACACACGUACUACAAUGGCGUUAAACAAAGAGAAGCAAGACCGCGAGGUGGAGCAAAACUCAGAAACAACGUCCCAGUUCGGACUGCAGGCUGCAACUCGCCUGCACGAAGUCGGAAUUGCUAGUAAUCGUGGAUCAGCAUGCCAC
rnacentral:rRNA from 1 species